rnacentral:rRNA from 1 species
AACGAACGCUGGCGGCAGGCUUAACACAUGCAAGUCGAACGCAUCGCAAGAUGAGUGGCAGACGGGUGAGUAACGCGUGGGAACAUACCCUUUUCUACGGAAUAGCUCUGGGAAACUAGAAUUAAUACCGUAUACGCCCUACGGGGGAAAGAUUUAUCGGGGAAGGAUUGGCCCGCGUUGGAUUAGCUAGUUGGUGGGGUAAAGGUCUACCAAGGCGACGAUCCAUAGCUGGUCUGAGAGGAUGAUCAGCCACAUUGGGACUGAGACACGGCCCAAACUCCUACGGGAGGCAGCAGUGGGGAAUAUUGGACAAUGGGCGCAAGCCUGAUCCAGCCAUGCCGCGUGAGUGAUGAAGGCCUUAGGGUUGUAAAGCUCUUUCACCGAUGAAGAUAAUGACGGUAGUCGGAGAAGAAGCCCCGGCUAACUUCGUGCCAGCCGCCGCGGUAAAAC